rnacentral:rRNA from 1 species
GAUGAACGCUGGCGGCGUGCCUAAUACAUGCAAGUCGAGCGAACGGACGAGAAGCUUGCUUCUCUGAUGUUAGCGGCGGACGGGUGAGUAACACGUGGAUAACCUACCUAUAAGACUGGGAUAACUUCGGGAAACCGGAGCUACUACCGGAUGAUAUUUUGAACCGCAUGGUUCAAAAGUGAAAGACGGUCUUGCUGUCACUUAUAGAUGGAUCCGCGCUGCAUUAGCUAGUUGGUAAGGUAACGGCUUACCAAGGCAACGAUGCAUAGCCGACCUGAGAGGGUGAUCGGCCACACUGGAACUGAGACACGGUCCAGACUCCUACGGGAGGCAGCAGUAGGGAAUCUUCCGCAAUGGGCGAAAGCCUGACGGAGCAACGCCGCGUGAGUGAUGAAGGCCUUCGGAUCGUAAAACUCUGUUAUUAGGGAAGAACAUAUGUGUAAGUAACUGUGCACAUCUUGACGGUACCUAAUCAGAAAGCCACGGCUAACUACGUG